CCCUUAGAGUUUGAUCCUGGCUCAGAUUGAACGCUGGCGGCAGGCCUAACACAUGCAAGUCGAGCGGUAACAGAUUGAUAGCUUGCUAUCGAUGCUGACGAGCGGCGGACGGGUGAGUAAUGCCUGGGAAUAUGCCCUGAUGUGGGGGAUAACUAUUGGAAACGAUAGCUAAUACCGCAUAAUCUCUUUGGAGCAAAGAGGGGGACCUUCGGGCCUCUCGCGUCAGGAUUAGCCCAGGUGGGAUUAGCUUGUUGGUGGGGUAAUGGCUCACCAAGGCAACGAUCCCUAGCUGGUCUGAGAGGAUGAUCAGCCACACUGGAACUGAGACACGGUCCAGACUCCUACGGGAGGCAGCAGUGGGGAAUAUUGCACAAUGGGGGAAACCCUGAUGCAGCCAUGCCGCGUGUAUGAAGAAGGCCUUCGGGUUGUAAAGUACUUUCAGUUGUGAGGAAGGCAGUAAAGUUAAUAGCUUUGCUGUUUGACGUUAGCAACAGAAGAAGCACCGGCUAACUCCGUGCCAGCAGCCGCGGUAAUACGGAGGGGGCGAGCGUUAAAUCGGAAUUACUGGGGCGUAAAGCGCAUGCAGGUGGUCUGUUAAGCAAAGAUGUGAAAGCCCGGGGCUCAACCUCGGAACAGCAUUUUGAACUGGGCAAA
rnacentral:rRNA from 2 species